rnacentral:rRNA from 1 species
UGCCCUAGUAACGGCGAGUGAAGCGGCAACAGCUCAAAUUUGAAAUCUGGCUUUCGGGCCCGAGUUGUAAUUUGUAGAGGAUACUUUUGAUGCGGUGCCUUCCGAGUUCCCUGGAACGGGACGCCAUAGAGGGUGAGAGCCCCGUCUGGUUGGAUGCCAAAUCUCUGUAAAGUUCCUUCGACGAGUCGAGUAGUUUGGGAAUGCUGCUCUAAAUGGGAGGUAUAUGUCUUCUAAAGCUAAAUAUUGGCCAGAGACCGAUAGCGCACAAGUAGAGUGAUCGAAAGAUGAAAAGCACUUUGAAAAGAGAGUUAAAAAGUACGUGAAAUUGUUGAAAGGGAAGCGUUUAUGACCAGACUUGGACUUGGUUAAUCAUCUGGGGUUCUCCCCAGUGCACUUUUCCAGUUCAGGCCAGCAUCAGUUUUCGCCGGGGGAUAAAGGCUUCGGGAAUGUAGCUCUCUUCGGGGAGUGUUAUAGCCCGUUGUGUAAUACCCUGGCGGAGACUGAGGUUCGCGCUUCUGCAAGGAUGCUGGCGUAAUGGUCAUCAACGACCCGUCUUGAAACACGGACCAAGGAGUCGUCUUCGUAUGCGAGUGUUCGGGUGUCAAACCCCUACGCGUAAUGAAAGUGAACGCAGGUGAGAGCUUCGGCGCAUCAUCGACCGAUCCUGAUGUUCUCGGAUGGAUUUGAGUAAGAGCAUACGGGGCCGGACCCGAAAGAAGGUGAACUAUGCCUGUAUAGGGUGAAGCCAGAGGAAACUCUGGUGGAGGCUCGCAGCGGUUCUGACGUGCAAAUCGAUCGUCAAAUAUGGGCAUGGGGGCGAAAGACUAAUCGAACCUUCUAGUAGCUGGUUUCCGCGA